UACGGAGGAUGCGAGCGUUAUCCGGAUUUAUUGGGUUUAAAGGGUGCGUAGGCGGAUCGUUAAGUCAGUGGUCAAAUUGAGGGGCUCAACCCCUUCCCGCCAUUGAAACUGGCGAUCUUGAGUGGAAGAGAAGUAUGCGGAAUGCGUGGUGUAGCGGUGAAAUGCACAGAUAUCACGCAGAACCCCGAUUGCGAAGGCAGCAUGCCGGCUUCCUACUGACGCUGAAGCACGAAAGCGUGGGGAUCGAACAGG
rnacentral:rRNA from 1 species